rnacentral:rRNA from 1 species
UCGAGCGGUAGAGAGCUUGCUUCUCUUGAGAGCGGCGGACGGGUGAGUAAUGCCUAGGAAUCUGCCUGGUAGUGGGGGAUAACGUUCGGAAACGAACGCUAAUACCGCAUACGUCCUACGGGAGAAAGCAGGGGACCUUCGGGCCUUGCGCUAUCAGAUGAGCCUAGGUCGGAUUAGCUAGUUGGUGAGGUAAUGGCUCACCAAGGCGACGAUCCGUAACUGGUCUGAGAGGAUGAUCAGUCACACUGGAACUGAGACACGGUCCAGACUCCUACGGGAGGCAGCAGUGGGGAAUAUUGGACAAUGGGCGAAAGCCUGAUCCAGCCAUGCCGCGUGUGUGAAGAAGGUCUUCGGAUUGUAAAGCACUUUAAGUUGGGAGGAAGGGCAUUAACCUAAUACGUUAGUGUUUUGACGUUACCGACAGAAUAAGCACCGGCUAACUCUGUGCCAGCAGCCGCGGUAAUACAGAGGGUGCAAGCGUUAAUCGGAAUUACUGGGCGUAAAGCGCGCGUAGGUGGUUUGUUAAGUUGGAUGUGAAAUCCCCGGGCUCAACCUGGGAACUGCAUUCAAAACUGACUGACUAGAGUAUGGUAGAGGGUGGUGGAAUUUCCUGUGUAGCGGUGAAAUGCGUAGAUAUAGGAAGGAACACCAGUGGCGAAGGCGACCACCUGGACUAAUACUGACACUGAGGUGCGAAAGCGUGGGGAGCAAACAGGAUUAGAUACCCUGGUAGUCCACGCCGUAAACGAUGUCAACUAGCCGUUGGAAGCCUUGAGCUUUUAGUGGCGCAGCUAACGCAUUAAGUUGACCGCCUGGGGAGUACGGCCGCAAGGUUAAACUCAAAUGAAUUGACG